AACGAACGCUGGCGGCAUGCCUAACACAUGCAAGUCGAACGAGACCUUCGGGUCUAGUGGCGCACGGGUGCGUAACGCGUGGGAACCUGCCCUUAGGUUCGGAAUAACUCCCCGAAAGGGGUGCUAAUACCGGAUAAUGUCUUCGGACCAAAGAUUUAUCGCCUUUGGAUGGGCCCGCGUUGGAUUAGCUAGUUGGUAGGGUAAAAGCCUACCAAGGCGACGAUCCAUAGCUGGUCUGAGAGGAUGAUCAGCCACACUGGGACUGAGACACGGCCCAGACCCGGAGGGAGGAGGGGGGGGGGAAGUAUAGAAGAAGGGAGGAAGCCGUAACAAAGCAGGGCGGGGGAAGAAGGAAGGCCUGUGGUGUGAAAACUCCUUUUUCCACGAGGCGAGAAUGACGGUACCGGGAAAAGAAGCCCCGGCUAACUCCGUG
rnacentral:rRNA from 1 species